rnacentral:rRNA from 1 species
CGGUAAUUCCAGCUCCAAUAGCGUAUACUAAAGUUGUUGCAGUUAAAAAGCUCGUAGUUGGAUUUCUGCGGGGACGGAGCGGCCGGUCGCAAUUUGCGACUCGAGCUAGCGCUUUCCCCGCAUCCUGCCGCGAACCGUGCUACCAUUAGUUUGGUGGCGCUGGGGAUCGGCUCGAUUACUUUGAGAAAAAUAGAGUGUUCAAAGCAGGCCACACGCCUUGAAUAAGUUAGCAUGGAAUAAUGACUAAGGACUUUGGUUCUUUUCGUUGGUGUUCGGGACUGAAGUAAUGAUUGAUAGGGACAGUUGGGGCGGUCCGUAUUCCAAAGCGAGAGGUGAAAUUCUUAGACCUUCGGAAGACGAACAGCUGCGAAAGCGUUCCGCAAGGAUGUUCCCUUUGAUCAAGAACGAAAGUUGGGGGAUCGAAGACGAUCAGAUACCGUCGUAGUCUCAACUAUAAACUAUACCAGCUAGGGAUCGGCCAACGUUUAAUUAUUCGACUUGGUCGGCACCUUAUGAGAAAUCAAAGCAUCUGGGUUCCGGGGGGAGUAUAGUCGCAAGGCUGAAACUUAAAGGAAUUGACGGAAGGGCACCACCAGCCGUGGAGCCUGUGGCUUAAUUUGACUCAACACGGGAAAACUUACCAGGUCCGGACAUAGUAAGGAUUGACAGAUUGAUAGCUCUUUCUUGAUUCUGUGGGUGGUGGUGCAUGGCCGUUUUUAGUCGGUGGAUGUGAUCUGUCUGCUUAAUUGCGUUAACGGACGAGACCCCAGCCUGCUAAAUAGCGCGGCCGAGCUUUGCUCGGUGCGAGCUUCUUAGAGGGACCAUGAUGCGCGAUAGCACAAGGAAGUUUGGGGCAACAACAGGUCUGUGAUGCCCUUAGAUGUUCUGGGCCGCACACGGGCUACACUGGCGCCUGCAACGAGCAUAUCAGCUGGCCCGAGAGGGUCUUGGCUAAUCUUUGGAACCGGCGCCGUGCUUGGGAUUGACCAUUGCAAUUGUUGGUCAUGCAACGAGGAAUGCCUUGUAAACGCGAGUCAUCAGCUCGCAUUGAAUACGUCCCUGCUCUUUGUACACACCGCCCGUCGCUCCUACCGAUGAAUGUUCCGAUGAAAUUUUCGGAGAGCACCAGAGAACGGGGCUCCGCCUUGCAGAUCUGGAGGCUCAAAGUCACUUAAAUCUGAACAUUUCGAGGAAGGAGAAGUCGUAACAAGGUAGCCG